CCUACGGGAGGCAGCAGUAGGGAAUCUUGCGCAAUGGGCGAAAGCCUGACGCAGCCAUGCCGCGUGAAUGAUGAAGGUCUUAGGAUUGUAAAAUUCUUUCACCGGGGACGAUAAUGACGGUACCCGGAGAAGAAGCCCCGGCUAACUUCGUGCCAGCAGCCGCGGUAAUACGAAGGGGGCUAGCGUUGCUCGGAAUUACUGGGCGUAAAGGGAGCGUAGGCGGAUAGUUUAGUCAGAGGUGAAAGCCCAGGGCUCAACCUUGGAACUGCCUUUGAUACUGGCUAUCUUGAGUAUGGGAGAGGUGAGUGGAACUCCGAGUGUAGAGGUGAAAUUCGUAGAUAUUCGGAAGAACACCAGUGGCGAAGGCGACUCACUGGCCCAUUACUGACGCUGAGGCUCGAAAGCGUGGGGAGCAAACAGGAUUAGAUACCCUGGUAGUCCACGCCGUAAACGAUGAGUGCUAGUGUCGGCGAUGCAUGCAUGUCGGUGACGCGAGCUACGACAUUAAGACACCUCCGCCGUCGGGGAGGUACGGUCGGCGAAGUAAGUUAAACGUUAACAAAUAGUUAAGUUAGUACGGCGUUGAGACGUUGCCGACGGACGACGACGAGGGAGGAGG
rnacentral:rRNA from 1 species